rnacentral:rRNA from 1 species
ACGGAGGAUCCGAGCGUUAUCCGGAUUUAUUGGGUUUAAAGGGAGCGUAGGCGGACUAUUAAGUCAGCUGUGAAAGUUUGCGGCUUAACCGUAAAAUUGCAGUUGAUACUGGUCGUCUUGAGUGCAGUAGAGGUAGGCGGAAUUCGUGGUGUAGCGGUGAAAUGCUUAGAUAUCACGAAGAACUCCGAUUGCGAAGGCAGCUUACUGGACUGUAACUGACGCUGAUGCUCGAAAGUGUGGGUAUCAAACAG